GCUUGGCACAGUGGUGCAUGCCUGUAAUCCCAGCAGCUCAGGAGGCUGAGGCAGGAGGAUCGAGAGUUCAAAGCUAGCCUCAGCAAAAGUAAGGCACCAAGAACUCAGGGAGACCCUGUCUCUA
rnacentral:sRNA from 1 species